GAAGGAGGACUCGAUUUUUCUUAGAGCAGUGGGAUUGUUUAGCCUUAAAAAAAGGGAGAACCCCAGGGUGAGGUGGGACAGGAGAGCGAAUGCAAGCUCAGGUUGUUCCCUCAUCCUUUCUUGGAAGACAUUGUUAGAUUCCCACCACUGAAGUCUCAUUCUAAGCCCCCCUGAUGGAAGGAGGAGACACUAUGAGGGGUCCAAGAAUCUCAGCAUGGUUUGGGAUUUCCUGUCAAAACUCCCUGCUGAAGCAAGGGCACCCACAGCAGCUUGCCCAGGAUCACAAUAUCCAGGUGUGAAGUGCUUGGGGCUGGCUCUCUACUGGCCUCUCAAGAACCAUGGCUGGACUGGCCUCCAGAGGAGUGCCAGAGGCUCUUCAUGAAGCCCUCUGCCUUCCCAAAGGAAGGGAAAGGGAAGAAGAGAGAGACCUUGAUGGGCUAGGAGAGAAACUCCAUCAACUGGGAUGGACAGAAGGACAGCCCCAUGGAACAGAGACACAAACCAAGAGCCAACCUAACCCCUGAUGGCAGUGAUGGGACCACUGGCACCAGUGAUGCUGGGGGCAAGCACUGUGCAAGACAGUUUCUCUUCAUGAUCAGAUGGAACUUCCUAGGUUCCAGUUUGUGCCCAUUGCCCAUUGUCCUGUCACUGGGCACCACUGCCAAGAGUCUGGCUCCAUUCUCUUGUCCCCUCUCAGGUCCUUUAGAUCUUGCUGAGCAUUGAGAAGACGCCCUCUGAGCCUGCUCUUCUCAGGCUCAACAGCCCGAGGUCCAUCAGCCCCCUCUCAGAGAUGCUCUAUGGCUUUCUCAGAUGACUUUUCCUUAAUGUAGAUGUUCUCAUCAGUGGUCUGGUUCUGUUUCAGUGCCCUGAUGACAGCUGAUUUAAUUAAGAAAGCACAUCCCUCACUCCUGUAUAACCAUUUCUGCUCCUGUUUGCUGGCAGAGAAGAAAUCUGUUGCAAUGUGAGGACUGUUAAUGUUGUCAUCUUUCCUUCUGGGAAAUGCCUUGCUUGUCAGUUUUAACUGAAAAGAAGAAUAAUGAAAUAAUGAGGGAACUGGGAUGAGAUUUAAGAGCAAAAAUAAAGACAGGGGAAUCCUGGCUCUCAUGGCAAUCUUAGAAGUACAUGCUUGGGCUUCAGGGCUCUCAGCACUGGUGGAGGUUAGAAGGAACCUGGAA